CUUUUCCAGUGCCUCUUCAAAUUUGUUUACGUUCCCGACGGAUUUUCAUGCCUUUUUACUUUAUUGGGUAAGAUUUUUUGAUAGAGGCUGUUACUAUAUUCACAUUUUGUUGUUUUAGUUUCAAAUUAUCAACAGUACACAGCACAUUUCGUAUAAAAAAAAUGGGGCAUUGAAUUUCAAGUAUUGACAUGUUUGCGGGACUUUAUUAUUAUUCAAUGAUUUUUGGAAGCUUUCCUCAUUUGUAACUGUAAGUUAAUGCAUUACGUUUGUCUUUAAGAACCAGAAUAAUGUUUAUUUUAAAAAAAGGCGAAAAAAAAAUGUAGGUCGUUCUCUUUUUGAGUCAAAACUGCAGAAACAUCACUGGAACACCAUUGUGAAAUACAAAAUACAAUGCAACAACUGAAACAAUACAGCAUAAUGUCUCUGAUGGUAUUUUUUUCUUGCCAAUUCAAAGCCAAGGAAUUUAUUUUUAUAUUGAGGCUGCAAGUGCUAUCUGAAUUUUCAGCGAAGCAACCUGAAUUCUUUUUAUAUCAUUUCCUCUUAUGGUACAUGUACACUUCAGUGUUAAGUAUAUAUUUACAUUUUACUAUAUAAUGUCGUGCAAUCAGCUAUUUCUGGAAUCAUGUUUUUCUCGGAAAAAGCUCGUCAAUUUCUUACGCCUUAUGAUAUUGCUUACCAGUUAGACAUGUUAGAAGACUACACUAUUAAAGUUUCAACCAUUUUCAGAAUCGCCAUUCUACAUGUACAUGUAGUGUUUUAACUAAAGUAAUGUAUUUUGGAGCAACGUCAUGUCCUUUUUUUUGACAACAUGUCCUUUUUCUUUUGAAAAGUUUUAUGCCAUGUGCCCUUAAGCAUUAUCUAGAACGAGAUUGUGGUUUUGUUUUUUUGCUGAUCGAAGGGUGACAAUUCAAGCAUUGACUUAAGAUGGUUGUAUGUAGACAAUAUUUAUCAUUUCAGCCUAACUUAAGAGCAUAUAUCAAAUCAUUCUUAGUGUUGGCCAAAUUAGUGUGUUACUUCAUGACAACUUGAUAAAAGUUGCCAGAAGUAAAUUUGUAAUCCAUUGAUUGCAUUAAAAACGUCAUACAUUUCCAAAUUGUGUGCCAAACAUCAUUUAUUUCUGUAAAUUUUCUUUGUACAUGUAGGCCAUUUAAAUAUUUGUGCGAUAUAGGGAUUGGAGUCGCCAAUGAAAACUCACCAUCUAUGAAAGAAAUCAUGAUUCUUAUGAUAAUGACUACAGACGCAUGAAUACAUUGUAGCACAUGUACAGCUGACAAAAGAAUUGUUGAUCCCAAAAAGAAAAAGUAUGCAUUCCACACACAUUAACAUACUUUUGGUUAGAUCAACUUGAUUAAUGUAUAUAUUUCCAUGUAGUUAUUGUUUCAAUUUAUUUUUUAAAGUUGCUCAACUCUGGGACUAUCAUACUAAUAUCAUUAUACUAUGUAUAUCUUAUUUUUGUACCAGCUUAACUUUUUAAAAUUUAUAUAUCUUUUUUAAUGAGAAAAACUGAAUAUAUGCAACUUUAUUCUAGUUUAUUUAUGUGCUCUAUUUGGAAUAGUUGACAUGUAAAGUGCCCUUUAGGGAAAAAAAUAAGUGAGUGAGGUUUGUGCCGAUUUUUUUAUUAGAUUAACCAUAUUUAUCUUUACAGAUUAAGGAAAGAGAAAUAUAUAAUAUAUAAAUAAUUACUUAAUGGCAAAUUUUUCACCCAGAACAAGUUAAGAAUAUACAAUGUUAUAAGUUCUGAAUAGUGGAAUGACAGAAAGAGCAAAGGAAUAGAUAAUUUAAAUUCCAUAUUACAUAUACAAAUCAUUAUUGAACUAGAAGAUAUAUUUUGAUAACCAGCUGAACUUUUGAAAUAAAAUGAUAUUUAUUUGGAAUAAUUUUACUCACUGUUAUUUAUUUUAUUUUCUAAAAUAUAUCUAUAAUACUAAAAUAACAAGGUCCAAUUUUGGUCAGCGUUCAUGGGGGUAAAAACGACAAAUCAAAGAAUUUAACUUUAUAUAUAGCUAAUAUAGGACAAAGGUGUAGAUUAAAAAUUACACCACUCCAGACCCUUUUGUUUUCCACAUAAUUUAUAUUGCCAAUAAUUAACAAGUUCGGGGUCAUAUCAGAUACUGAUACCAAUAUUCACCUGUUACCUAUUACCUUAUCUGUACGUUCUGCAUCUGACAGACGCACCACCAAACGGUGUAUUUAGGAUUUUGCUAUAUACACAGUCAUAAUCACAAGGUUGACACUACUUGAUUCAAUCAUUGUUAAAUUUUACUCAAUAAGACUUUCUAAGAUAACAAUACGAAUACUAAAAAUCUGGACUUAAAAUAAGGCAUAUAGGUACAGUUUUCAAUUUGUAAGUGGGCAUAACGUAAAACAGCGAAUCAAAGAAUUCAACUUUAUUUAUAACUAAUAUAAGACAAUGCUGUUGAUUAAAAAAUACUCCAUUCCAGGACCUUUUGUUUUUCAAAUAAUUAAUAUUACCAAUUAUUGAUAAGUUCCAGGUCGACAGGUUCAAACAGAAAGAUUUGAAAGUAGAGAAAACUGUGUAUCUUAUAUAAUCGACAUGACUUUAUCAGAUGACAAUACCAAUACUAAAAUAGAGCUUACGCAUAGUUAUAUAUUCAGUCAGGGACCCGUGAUAUCAGGGGUGUGUCCUAGUAUUCUUAUUAUGCUUAUAAACACUUAUAUACAGGGUUCUCACUAAGGCGAGUCCAUGAGACCUGGACUCAUAAAAAUCUGUCUGGACUCACCAUUUUCAAAACUUGUGAGUCGAAAGAUGCAUCAAAAUUGUAAAACGUAUCAAAUGAGCACAUGUAUAUCAUCAUUUUAUUAUAAAAGUUAAAAAAAAAAAACGAUGUCAUUUCCUUGCUCUAUUUUGUCAUGGAGACUGAAAUUAUACCAUUUAUAUCAAUAAAAUUAUAUCUUUUCACUGCUGGAUUCGCCAUCACAUGUAUAUACUAACAUAGACACAUACAUGUAAUUUAAGUUUUUAUUUAAUUUCUAGUAGCAAACUCAAGAAGCCUGAUUUUAAAAGAAUAAAUUAUAUUUUAAGUUCACAGAUGAUAGAUUUAUUUGUUUGAUUUCUGAUGCAAACAAAAAUUCAUUUCUGUACAAAUAAAUUGUAAAUUUUCACCAUUCUGUGUAAACAAAAUACUGUCAAUUGAAGCUCUUUUGUAAAUUUAAACAAGUGUUUUCAUCUACCUAUGAAAUGUAUUAACAACAUAUUCUUAUCUGUUGUGAUUUGCUGUUGUCCACGAUUAUAAUCAGAACUGUUUAUUCUAAUUGCAAUAGAUUAUUCUUGUUACACAAAUACACAUAAAUCAUGAUAAAGUAAAUGACAUGAAGGGAUACUUUUUCUUACAGUAAUCCCUAUGUUUGUCUCCUCAAUCCAAACUUUGUUUAAAUCAAAGUAGAUCGUGUGGGUACCUAGCCAGUUAAAAAUGAUAAGAAUACUCCACAUUUGUCACUAUUUAAAUUUGUAUACUUAGUUGAUAGUCCAUAUGUAGUUUAUUCAAUGCUAGGCAAUUAAAGACAUUUGUCAUAUAAAAAUAAGGAAAUGAGAUAUGAUUGCCUAUGAGAUGUAUAUUCAGAAAAGACCGAAUGAGGUAGAUAUAUACAUGUAUGCAAGUAUUGGUAUGUUUUGUAGCCUUUUGUAGUAAUACAGGGCAAUAUUUAUAGAUAGUUCAGUGACAAAUAUUUAAUGCAUAUAUAUUCAAGACAAAAAUAAAUAAGCUAUCAAAAGCUUGCAAUCACCCUACAUGAGGAAUAAUCAGGCAUCAGGUUUAAAGUCUGUGGAAAAAAUAAAUCUAGAAACAUGUUAGAAAACACUUGCGAUGAUAGAUUUUUCAAUGAAAAAAUUGUUGCUUCAUAAAGAAAUCGCAUAUAUAUAUUUAUUACUACAUUGAAACUGCAUUUAUGGGGUUAACUAGCCCUGUCUAUAAUUUGGCAAAAACAUCUAUUUUCUGAAAGAUAUCCACCCUGAUUUUGGAUUAAAGAUACAAAAGUACAUGGCAGAGAUUUUUUGCUUUUAAAAAUAUAAAAAGUUGAGUAAAACUCUUUGAGGGUAACAGGCUGUUGUGAGGAACAAAUUUGAUUCUGGAAACUUUUCUUUUCAAGAACAUUUUCAAAUUUCAAAACAAGUAAGGAGUAAUUUUAAGAAAAACAAAAAAUUAGAAUUAUUUAUAUAAAUAGGUCUCUCUGGUGUGUAAAGUCUGUAUAGGGGUACCAUUUGGGGCUGUUGUAAUAUUUUAAUUGACAUCAAAAUGGUUCUCUUGCACAAAUUGAUUCAGUGCUUUUUCAGCUUGUCCAGUCAGUAUUGCAGCUUCAAAAUAUUAUGUGCACAUUAUGAUAUAAGACAUGAACAUACAUUGUACUGUAUAUAGUAUGACAUGUAACAGCAUGAAGAUUUCCCUCACAAAUAAUCACUUUAAAAUCAAAUGAGAAGGUCAACAAAAAACACAUUAUAGAAUUUGCUCAACGUAGCAUAUACUCUUAUUACACAAAAUUAAAAAGAACGCAAUAAUUCCUUUCAGUUGAAAUUCCUUUAAACGGUAAAAUAUUUUUGUAAGUUUAAAGUGUUCUUCUUCAAAGAAGAUUAAACUAACAAAGUUAAAUGGUUGAGUAUGUAUACUUUUAACCUGGCCAUUAACAUGAGAUGUUUUAGCAUGUUUAUGUGACGAAAUCUAUCAAACUUAUAUACUGUUAAUUUAUUAAAUACAUUUUGAAGAGGAUUGAAAAUCAGUUAGUUCAUACAUGUGGUUUGAAAUGGACAUAUGUAAAAUUUCUAUUCUUGUCUAAAAUGUGGCAUCUAGUUUGUUCAUGUGUAUCUUAACCAUAUAUAUUUUUUGGCAAAUAGAUCUUACUGUUCAUCAAUCGUAAAAGUAGCUUUUGAUUUUGCAAUGGUUGGUUGGAAGAAGACCAAUUCAAGGUGACCAUAUUUCUAUCUAGAAAACUUAAAAAAUGAAGAUUUAUCAUUAAUUAAUUUUUUGUUUGUCGUUUCAGGUACAUGUGCAUUGUUUUAACAUAAAGAAAUAUAUGGUAGAUUAAAGAAGGAAAUAUAGCAACAGGGUAAAGUGAACAUCUAUUAUUUUAUAGUCAUGAUAGUCACAGAAAAAAGAUAUAUUGCAUGCACUUAUAUAUCAAACCAAGUAUCCAUUACAAUACAUACAAUUUAGGGGCCAGCUGAAGGACGCCUCCGGGUGCGGGAAUUUCUCGCUACAUUGAAGACCUGUUGGUGACCCUCUGCUGUUGUUUUUUAUUUGGGCGGGUUGUUGUCUCUUUGACACAUUCCCCAUUUCCAUUCUCAAUUUUAAUUAAAAAGGAGAUUUUAUAAUAAUUACAUGACUGCUUGAAGUUUUGUUUGCAUAUUUUUAAGAUUAAAAAGAUUGAUAUUUAAUAAACUAUAUGCUCAAAAUAAUGAAAAUGUCAGGUGAGAUGCAUAGGUGAAAUAUUACUUACUAAAUUUUAUAUUCAAGGGUGGACUGGUUAUGAGAAAAAUAUGAUUUAACAUAUGUUAUCAGAGAGAGCAUCAACAUGCAGUAGUGUUCACUCUGGUUUUAGAGAGACUUCUGCAUAAUUAAUUUUUUUUAAACCCAAGACAUAUACCACUUACUAUGUAAAUUCUUUUACAAAAGCCAGUAAUUUAUUGCAUUGUCAAAGGUUAAUAUAGGGAUUAAAUCUCUUCUAAUUAAAUCUGUAAUGAUAAAAUCCAAUCAGUUAAUUAAAGAAUGAUACAGUAAUUUUUUAAUCUAAUCAGUUUAAUUUUAAUUAGUGUUCAGGGAACCACAACUGUUUGAUUUAAACCACAAGUAACCCUAAUACCAUUUAUUAGAAUGACAUGACCAUAUGUCUUCAAAUGCCAUAAAAUAUAAACAAUAUAUUUUAAUCUUCAGGUUAAUGAUCCUGCAUAUACAACAUAUAAGUUUUGUUGCCAUUGUUAGCGCGGAGUGUGUCAGAGUUAUUGUGCAGUCACAUUAAAG
rnacentral:lncRNA from 1 species